AGAAUCAACGCUGGCGGCGUGCCUAACACAUGCAAGUCGAACGAGAAAGUGGAGCAAUCCAUGAGUAAAGUGGCGCACGGGUGAGUAACACGUGACUAACCUACCCUUGAGUGGGGGAUAACCUAGGGAAACCUGGGCUAAUACCGCAUAAUACCUUCGGGUCAAAGGAGCAAUUCGCUUUAGGAGGGGGUCGCGGCCGAUUAGUUAGUUGGCGGGGUAAUGGCCCACCAAGACUGUGAUCGGUAUCCGGCCUGAGAGGGCGCACGGACACACUGGAACUGAAACACGGUCCAGACUCCUACGGGAGGCAGCAGUGGGGAAUUUUGCGCAAUGGGGAAACCCUGACGCAGCAACGCCGCGUGGAGGAUGAAGCCCCUUGGGGCGUAAACUCCUUUCGAUCGGGAAGAUAAUGACGGUACCGAGAGAAGAAGCCCCGGCUAACUUCGCGCCAGCAGCCGC
rnacentral:rRNA from 1 species